rnacentral:tRNA from 2 species
GCCCCUGUAGUUCAACGGAUAGAACGCAAGCCUCCGAAGCCUGCAAUGCAGGUUCAAUUCCUGCCAGGGGCACCA